UUAUCAUGCUGAACCACCAAUUCCCAUCCAAUCACCAAAGUUAAGCAAUGUUGUGCCUGGUCAAUACCUAAAUGGGUGACUACUUGGGAAUACCAGGUAGUGUA